UUUUAAUGAGGCAUUAGUAAUGUUGACAAAAAUGCUCUAAUUUAAAUUUGAAAAUAUUUUUCAAGUGACUAUGUUUUCAGGUUUAACUAAAUGACGAUGGCCAUUUUUUGUGCAAUAUUUAUUGUAUAUUUUCAAAGUUUUUUACACACAGGUUUAAGUGAUAGAAAUUAUGCUGCUAUCAAAGAUGUUCAUGCUCAUCUAGAUGAUAAUAAAGAUGGUAUCAUUGAUAUUUUUGAAAGCAAAGAU
rnacentral:lncRNA from 1 species